GACGAACGCUGGCGGCGUGCUUAACACAUGCAAGUCGAACGGAAAGGCCCUGCUUUUUUGCGGUGCUCGACUGGCGAACUGGUGAGUUACACUUGAGUAACCUGCCCUUCACUUUGGGAUAACUUCAUGCCACUUGGUCUAAUCCCGGAUAGGAUCUCCUGCUUCUUGGUGGGGGUUGGAUAGUUUCGGCGGUUGGCGAUGGACUCGCGGCUUAUGAGCUUGUUGGUGGGGUAGUGGCUUACCAAGGCAUUGACGGGUAGCCGGCCUGAGAGGGUGACCGGCCACAUUGGGACUGAGAUAAGGCCCAGACUACUACGGGAGGCAGCAGUGGGGAGUAGUGCACAAGGGGCGGAAGCAUGAUGCAGCAAAGCAGCGUGCGGGAUGAGGGCCUGCGGGUUGGAAACCGAUGUCGCCUGUGACGAAGCGUGAGUGACGGUAAUGGGUAAAGAAGCACCGGCUAACUACGUG
rnacentral:rRNA from 1 species